rnacentral:rRNA from 1 species
AAUUCUUAAAAAAAAAAAUCUUUAGUACACCCAUCAUAUAACACUAAAAUACAAAAAACACACUGUAAAGACAAUUAAUUAUUUAAAAGCAGUAUUCAACGUACCUUUUGCAUCAUGGUAUAACAAGAAUAAAAUAAUAUAUUUAAUCCCGAAAAGCAACCGAGCUGAAAAAAAUGCUGACUAGAUACCCAUACUACAAUGUUGCAAUAUUGUGAUAAGACAUAUUUUCAGAGGCUACAUACCCCCGCGGUGCUUAAUAGCUGGUUGUGUUUACCACCGAUCUUAGUCGGAAGAGCAUAAUUGCUACGAAGUUAUUAAAGGCAAAGCUUUAAUAAUUUUAUUCUAUCUCAUAAUAAUUAAGAUUCUCUAUAGGCCUAACACCAGCCACCUAAUCACGUUACCGUGUAAAAUCUACCCAUCUAAUAAUUAUAACUCCUUGGUAAAACAAAACACAAUAUUCAUCUCUAAUGAAAUAAGUAUAAUGUUAUAACUAAUAUUAAAAACUCACCCACAUAUAAAUUAUAUAAAUAAAUAUAAUUUAAAUAUUCAACACACCACAUUCAAGUAAGGAACUCGGCAAACACUUAUUCAGCCUGUUUAACAAAAACAUCGCCUGUUGAAAAUAUAACAGGUCCAUCCUGCCCAGUGAAUUUUCUUUCAACGGCCGCGGUAUCCUGACCGUGCAAAGGUAGCAUAAUCAUUUGCCUUUUAAUUGAAGGCUAGUAUGAAAGGACACACAAGAAUAAAACUGUCUCACUUGAAUUUUUAAUAAACUGAUAUUUAGGUGAAGAAGCCUAAAUCAAUAUAAAGGACAAGAAGACCCUAUAGAGCUUUACUAAUAAAAAGCAUUAAACUUAAUUAUUAGUUUGGUUGGGACAACCUAAAGACAAAUAAACCUCUUAGCUAAUUAAUCGCACACACCCAAUAAUGUUUUAGAAUAUAGCUACCUUAGGGAUAACAGGCUAAUCCUACUAGAGAGAUCACAUUGACAGUAGGGGUUGGCACCUCGAUGUUGGCUUAGUGUAACUAUUAGGCGCAGCCGUUUAAUAAAGUUGGUUUGUUCAACCAUUAAAUCACUACAUGAGCUGAGUUCAGACCGGCGUAAGCCAGGUUAGAUUCUAUCCUUAUAUAAAUAAAAUAGAUCGUAGUACGAAAGGACCUGAGCCUAUGAAUUGUAUUCAACUAAUUACAUAUAAACU